UUUCUAUAAGGACUCUCUUUCUCGUUGGUAGAUCACAUUUUGUUACAUUGUGUAUCGAAUAUAUAAAACACUUAUCAAUUUAUAUAUUCAUAAUUAAAGGAUUGAAUAACACCAGCAUCCCAUUAAUAACCUAGUUACACAUUUUAUUUUGGGUGCUAUGAUGCUUAGAUAUUCAAAUACAUACAUAGUUACAUUCUCCUACAUGCUAUCUCUAGUCAUAACCAGCCUUUAUUUCAAGCACUUGAGUAGCAGCUUGCAUGGAAGGCCUAGAACGUGGAUCAGCACGCAAACACCAUAGUGCAAGCUUAACAAUGGAGGUGAGUUCAUGUGCAAUCUUUUUGGUAGGAGGAGAGAGACGAGGAUCUAACACAUCUUCAAGUUGAAUGCCUUGAUCCAUUAUGGAGCUUAGGGUUGAAAUAAGCUCCCCUGGAUGAGAUCCCUUCAAAACUUCAAGUGUCAAAACCCCAAAGCUAUAAACAUCACAUUUUUCUGUCACCGCCAUUGUGUACGAAAACUCUGCGAGCAAAAGGAAUGAAAAAAAAAAAAAGGAAAACCAUUAAAUCUAGGCAAGAAUCUUAAUGACUGAUUCUUCACUGAUGAAAUGGAUCUCGAAAAGAAGUGUAAGAAUUGGGUUGUAAAAUGAACAAAACUAGUCAAGUUUCAUUUGUGUUCAGCUCGUUAAUUAAAACCUCAAUUGCAAUCCACUUAUUACCUAAACAACCAGUGCUUGAACAUAUUUUGGAUCUAGUCAGUUUUAUCUGAGCUCUGCUCGAAAUUAUAAUCGACUCUAUUACAGAUCAUUUGAGAUCGACUUGACUGAUAUUAAAACUAAGUUUGAACAAGUUUUUAAGCUCAUUAAAAUUUUAAAUUAAGUUUGAAUAAACCCCGAGACUCGUAGACAACCAAAUGUGUAACACUAUACUAAUUUAUCCGUAGCACGUACAGGUGUAGACAACUAUUUUUUAAAAAUGUUCGUGAAAACUCUGUUGAGCUGUCUUUUGUCCACAAUUCAUAAACUUAAAAGGAUAAUUUGUUCUUGUAAAUAUAAUUAAACAAAAAUAAAACUAUAACAUCUAAUCAUAAUGUCACCUGGGAGAGGUAUCCGUAUGUGCUUCAACUGCAGUCCAAAUUGAGGAUCCGGCUCAAAAAUCUAGCAUUUGGCCAAAAUCUGAGACAGAGCCUCCAAUUCUGAGUUCAACAAAACAUUCUUGCUCGCUAUGUCGCGUGAAUUAUUGAGGUGCGCAACUAUGAAUGCUGUAAUACAAUGCAUUAGCCACGCUUAAUAAUAUCAACCCUCUGGAACCAAUCUAGCACUUCGCGUCUUAUCGACAUUAGAAACACGUGCCAAGCUCCCUUUUCCCAGGAACUCGGAUAAACCAAAAAAUGGUGCCUUUUCAUGAGAACAAAAGCCAUAUUUUAAAAAAAUGUUACAAUGUCCGGUGCCUUAUUUCGUUCAAAGUUCUUAUCUCAUUUUUGAAAAGUCUGUCCAUGAUCUCCAUGCUUUCAGUUGUAAAGUUUAGCUUUUUCAUGCCACUACCUGUCCACUGGUAACAUAGCUUUGUAAAACUCUCGCUGUCCCCCCGCCCCAAUGCUGUUUAUUCAUCGUUUUUUAAAAUCGUUGUGCGUCGAUGAUGUCUCCGUGACAUCUUUCUCCAUAAAAUUCCAAAUGAAAGAGAUUUUUUUCUUUCUUUGUCAGGAACCCAGAUCCCUUGAGAAGAAUCCUUUUGCAUCGUCGGUGAUAAGUUUAAAACCCAAAUACCCAACAACCGAAAAUACGAAAAAGCAACAAGGCAAUGAAGAAGUUAUGAUAAUUAAUUAUCAGGUGAGAAUCUCUUUCUUUUGGCUGAUACUUGCGGGAGAUGAUGUGUACAUGCCCCAAUCUGGAUUUCACACAUUAAAUCUUGUUAUUAGCGAUUGAUUGUGAGGGAAAUGAAACGAAAGGCGUCGGUAUUAGGAAGGACACUCCAGAUCAUGUGUAGGACAGGUAAUGUCCCAAGCUCACCAUGCACCUAAAGAACUGGGUAUGUUACUGAAAAAAAGUUGUGAGGAGAGGUUCAAAUUUCUAGCCUUAGGAAUUUCCAAUUUGUCGGUGAUAUCUUCCAGUAAGGAAUUUGUAACUAAAUCAAAGUGUAAAGUUUGCAAAUUUACAAGAUUACCAAUCUCGAGUGGGAUGGAAGAGCAUUUAAGCUAUUCUUGCUCAAACUCAAAAAUAGCCUUGAGCAAUACCCAAUCUGAUUUGAAUUGGUCCAUUAACUUGUUAAAUGACAGGUAUAGAUUUUCCAAAUGCGAUAGUUUGUUCCGAUGCCUGCUGCGUAUCUGACCCGAAAAACUUAUUGUUUUGCAAGCUUAAGGGGCUAAUCCGACAAUUUCAAAUUUGUGCCGGUAUUUUCCCAUAAAGUUGAUUAGAAAGACAGGUCCAGGACUACUAGUGUUCAAUGAAGUAGUUUCAUUUGGGAUUUCCCCUGGCAAUAAUAUUCCCUGCAAUUUUUAGCAGUUGUCA
rnacentral:lncRNA from 1 species